GACGAACGCUGGCGGCGUGCUUAACACAUGCGAGUCGAACGGUGAAGCGCCUUCCUUUUUGGUGGGUGUGGAUGAGUGGCGAACGGGUGAGUAACACGUGAGUAACCUGCCCCCUUCUUCUGGAUAACCGCAUGAAAGUGUGGCUAAUACGGGAUAUUCUGGGUCUGUCGCAUGAUGGGUCUGGGAAAGAUAUUGUUUCGGUGGGGGAUGGGCUCGCGGCCUAUCAGCUUGUUGGUGGGGUGAUGGCCUACCAAGGCGGUGACGGGUAGCCGGCCUGAGAGGGUGGACGGUCACACUGGGACUGAGACACGGCCCAGACUCCUACGGGAGGCAGCAGUGGGGAAUAUGGCACAAUGGGCGCAAGCCUGAUGCAGCGACGCCGCGUGAGGGAUGGAGGCCUGCGGGUUGUGAACCUCUUUCGCCAGUGAAGCAGGCCUGCCUCGUUUGUGGGUGGGUUGACGGUAGCUGGAUAAGAAGCGCCGGCUAACUACGUG
rnacentral:rRNA from 1 species